AUUGAACGCUGGCGGCAUGCUUUACACAUGCAAGUCGAACGGCAGCGCGGGCUUCGGCCUGGCGGCGAGUGGCGAACGGGUGAGUAAUGCAUCGGAACGUGCCCAGUAGUGGGGGAUAGCCCGGCGAAAGCCGGAUUAAUACCGCAUACGACCUGAGGGUGAAAGCGGGGGACCGAAAGGCCUCGCGCUAUUGGAGCGGCCGAUGUCGGCUUAGCUAGUUGGUGGGGUAAAGGCUUACCAAGGCGACGAUCCGUAGCUGGUCUGAGAGGACGACCAGCCACACUGGGACUGAGACACGGCCCAGACUCCUACGGGAGGCAGCAGUGGGGAAUUUUGGACAAUGGGGGCAACCCUGAUCCAGCCAUGCCGCGUGCGGGAAGAAGGCCUUCGGGUUGUAAACCGCUUUUGUUCGGGAAGAAAUCCUCUGGGCUAAUACCCCGGGGGGAUGACGGUACCGGAAGAAUAAGCACCGGCUAACUACGUG
rnacentral:rRNA from 1 species